rnacentral:rRNA from 1 species
GGAUUCCCCUAGUAACUGCGAGUGAAGCGGGAAAAGCUCAAAUUUAAAAUCUGGUGGUCUCAGGCCAUCCGAGUUGUAGUCUGGAGAAGUGCUUUCUGCAUUGGACCGUGUAUAAGUCUCUUGGAACAGAGCGUCAUAGAGGGUGAGAAUCCCGUCUUUGACACGGACUACCAGUGCUUUGUGAUGUGCUCUCAAAGAGUCGAGUUGUUUGGGAAUGCAGCUCAAAAUGGGUGGUAAAUUCCAUCUAAAGCUAAAUAUUGGCGAGAGACCGAUAGCGAACAAGUACCGUGAGGGAAAGAUGAAAAGCACUUUGGAAAGAGAGUUAAACAGUACGUGAAAUUGCUGAAAGGGAAACGCUUGAAGUCAGUCGCGUCUGCCGGAACUCAGCCUUCCUUUUGGUUGGUGCACUUUCCGGUAGACGGGCCAGCAUCGAUUUCGACCGUCGGAAAAGGGCUGGGGAAAUGUGGCACCUUUCGGGGUGUGUUAUAGUCCCCAGUCGCAUACGUCGGUUGGGAUCGAGGAUCGCAGCGCGCCGCAAGGCAGGGGUUCCCCCACUUUCGCGCUUAGGAUGCUGGCAUAAUGGCUUUAAACGACCCGUCUUGAAACACGGACCAAGGAGUCUAACAAACCUGCGAGUGUUUGGGUGGAAAACUCGAGCGCGUAAUGAAAGUGAAAG